rnacentral:rRNA from 1 species
CCCCCUUCWCGGGGGGCGGAGACUGGCCUCCCGUKCGCUCCCGUCGCGCGGCCGGCCC